GUCUCUGUGGCGUAAUAGGUUAGUGCGUUCGGCUGUUAACUGAAAUAUUGGAGGUUCAAGCCCACCCAGGGACG
rnacentral:tRNA from 1 species